GACGAACGCUGGCGGCGUGCUUAACACAUGCAAGUCGAACGGAAAGGCCCUGCUUGCAGGGUACUCGAGUGGCGAACGGGUGAGUAACACGUGGGUGAUCUGCCCUGCACUUCGGGAUAAGCCUGGGAAACUGGGUCUAAUACCGGAUAGGAGCCAUUUUUAGUGUGAUGGUUGGAAAGUUUUUUCGGUGUAGGAUGAGCUCGCGGCCUAUCAGCUUGUUGGUGGGGUAAUGGCCUACCAAGGCGGCGACGGGUAGCCGGCCUGAGAGGGUGGACGGCCACAUUGGGACUGAGAUACGGCCCAGACUCCUACGGGAGGCAGCAGUGGGGAAUAUUGCACAAUGGGCGCAAGCCUGAUGCAGCGACGCCGCGUGGGGGAUGACGGCCUUCGGGUUGUAAACUCCUUUCACUAGGGACGAAGCUUUUUGUGACGGUACCUAGAUAAGAAGCACCGGCUAACUACGUG
rnacentral:rRNA from 1 species